rnacentral:rRNA from 1 species
CCUACGGGUGGCAGCAGUGAGGAAUAUUGGUCAAUGGACGCAAGUCUGAACCAGCCAUGCCGCGUGCAGGAAGACGGCUCUAUGAGUUGUCAACUGCUUUUGUACGAGGGUAAACGCAGAUACGCGUAUCUGUCUGAAAGUAUCGUACCAAUAAGGAUCGUCUAACUCCGUUCCAUCAGCCGCGGUAAUAAGGAGGAUUCAAGCGUUAUCCGGAUUUAUUGGGUUUAAAGUGUGCGUAGGCGGUCGGAUCAGUUAGAGGUGAAAUCCCGAGGCUCAAAUUCGGAAUUGCCGUUGAUACUGUUCGGCUAGAGAGUAGUUGAGGUAGGCGGAAUGUAUGGUGUAGCGGUGAAAUGCUUAGAGAUCAGACAGAACACCGAUUGCGAAGGCAGCUUACCAAGCUACUUCUGACGUUGAGGCACGAAAGCGUGGGGAGCAAACAGGAUUAGAUACCCCUGUAGUC